rnacentral:piRNA from 1 species
UUCUUUAUAAAGACACGUCUAUCUAGCCCU